AUUCAGACACUAUUGGAAUAAGAGCGUUUGAACGUUUUCUAUUCUUUUAUGUUAUAACCAUUGCUGAUUUGUGCAUUCUUGUUUGGCUCUAAAAUCUUGCUAAACGCGUGAUAGUUCGUUGUCUAACAUUAGAUAGGCCACACAAAACCCAAUCCCAGUUCACCAAGUCGUUGUGGAGUAGGCUAUGUCCGUGGUUGCACUUCAACAGAUGAUUGCACCUUUCUUUUACUGUCUGUCUAUGGAUUGCAAGGUGGGACCAGAAUGGCUCUAUGGCUGGCAGUGAUGUUCUCCCCGGAUUGUUGGUGUGAUUUGGUUUUAAGUAGCCUAGAAAUUCCCCAUUAAAUAAAGUAUUUUGGUGCUGAUUAA